UCCCCCUUCAAGAAACUGCUCUCCUUUUAGGAAAUCUCUGGGUCCCUGCUGUCUCCUAAGAUGCCCUAGUUCAGCUGCUGGAAAGGAGACACAUCCCAGAUGUGGACCUGAAGCAGUACCUGGAGCAUAAGUCAAAUUGGUCCUGUUGAAAUCAGUUUCCCCCAUACACUGCCUCUUCUGUCAGUAGUACUUACAUUUUUGUCUGCUUUUCUGCUGAUAAAAUUCCACUGAUGUCAACUAUAGCAAACUUUCAUGCUUGCUAAAUUUGUGAACAAGAAAGGAAUAAGAGCCACACUAAACAAACAAAAGUCAAUCAUCAAGGAGUAAGUGAGGGGUUUAGCCUGCUCCAAGAAAAGGUUCUGUGAGUGGCAGGGAAAUUAAACACAUCUGAAGACAGGUGCUUCUCCAUCCUUCCCUCUGCACUUGGCAUACUGGGAUCCAAAAAACCAGCAGAAUUAUGAAGCUGCAAUGGCCCAGCAGAAGGGCUCUCUUCCCACUGUCUGCUCAAGCAAAAACAGAAUCACAGAAUGGGUCAGGAUGGGACCACACUGGGUCAUCUGGUCCCACCUCCCUGCUCAAGCAGGGUCAUCCCAGAGCACACAGCACAGCAAUGUGUCCAGAUGGUUCUUGAAUA